UCCUGCAUCCGCUGCUUCAAUGUGUUAUUCUGAAUAGAAGCAAUCUCGGUGGAUUUCUGCGAUUGUUGCGCCUUCAGAUCGGCAAUUUGUCGGAACAGAACGGAAUCAAGUGAACCUUUUGGCACUGUAAUUCAUUGUCAGUGUGAAUAUCAAUACCAUUAUGCGGAUAAGAAACAUCAUUUAUAACAUACUUUUUUUAUUGUUGAAUAUGUUCAAAGUGUUCCAGAAGCAAGAAAAUUUUAUUUAAAUGUGUUGAACGGUUUCACCAUUCGUUGGUGCCAAUAUGUCUUUUGCACAGGGGGCAAGUAUGCUCGAUGUCCUUGGCGCAAUCCGUGC